CUUGCCACCCUGAGAAUCGAACCUGGCGCCUCCUGGAGGAAAGCCAGGUACCAUAAUCACUAGGCCAGAGAUAG